rnacentral:rRNA from 1 species
UACAGAGGGUGCGAGCGUUAAUCGGAAUUACUGGGCGUAAAGCGCGCGUAGGCGGCUUUGCAAGUCGGAUGUGAAAUCCCUCGGCCUAACCGAGGAACUGCGUCCGAUACUGCGGUGCUUGAGGAUCAGAGGGGUGCAUGGAAUUUCCGGUGGAGCGGUGAAAUGCGUUGAUAUCGGAAGGAACUCCGGCGGCGAAAGCGAUGCACUGGCUGAUUUCUGACGCUGAGGUGCGAAAGCCAGGGGAGCAAACGGG